rnacentral:lncRNA from 1 species
CACCUGGGGGCCACCUGACAGGUCCAGCUGACCUUGGCAUGUCCAGGGCUGCUGCUCAUCUGCCCCUGGAGCACUGGGGCUCAGUGCUCUCCUUCCUGUGGAAAGAACUGUCCUUCUCCUCCAGGUGCCCAUGGCCAACAUUUGGAUUCCUCCUCUUAUUUUGCUUUUAUGCAAAGAUUGUUCCCAGAUGAAAUCUGCGAGGACAGACAGACCUGGCUGCCUUGGCCACCCAGGGGCCACCUCUCAUCUGCCUUUGAAACACUGGAACCCUGUGCUUUUCUUUCUUAUGGGAAAAAAGCACCUUUCACAUCCAGACACCCAUGGCCAAAGUUGGGAAUCCGCCUCCAGGAUUCCCUAUAUCCAAGGAUUUCUCCCAGUGAAAGCUUCCAGGAGAGACAAGUCUGGCUGGCCUUGGUUUCCAAGAGCUAAUUCUUAUCUGCCUUUGAAACACUGGGGCUCUGUGCUUUCCUUGCUGAUGAAAAGAACUCUUCUUCCUGCCCAGGUGCCCAUGGCCAAAACUGAGAUUCCACCUUCAAAAUUCUGAAUAUCCAAGGAUUUCCCCCAGAUAAAAGGUGCCAGGAAAAAACAGGUCUGACUCUCUUGGCCUAUGGUGACCACCUCUCAUCUUCUUCCAAAACACCUGGGCUUCACCUGGGCUUUUCUUUCCUAUGGGAAAAACCAUCCAUCUUGACCAGGUGGCCAAAGUUGGGAAUCCUCCUCCAGAAUUCCCUAGAUCCAAAGAUUUCUCAGUGAUGAAAGCUACCAAGACAAACGGGUCUGACUGGCUCAGCCUCUCAGGAGCCACCUCUCUCCUCCUCUGCCUUUGAAACACUGCGGCUCUGGGCUUUCCUUCCUAUGGAAAAGAACCGUCCUUCUUACCAAUGCAGAAAUGGCCAAAAUUUUGGUUCCACCUCCAAAGUUCCUUUAUCCAAGGGUUGCUUUCAGACAAAAGCUACCAGGACAGAGAGGUCUGGCUGCCCUUGGCCUCUGAUAGCCGCGUUUCAUCUGCCCCUGAAACACCGGUGUUCCAUGCUUUUCUUCCUGUGUAAAAGAACUGUCCUUCACCUCCAGGCAACCAGGUCCGAAACUGGUAUUCCACCUCUAAAAUUCCCUAUGUCCAAGGACAAAAUCUGCCAGCACCAUCUGAUCUGGCUGGCCUUGGCCUCUGGUGGAUGAGCCACAGCCCCUGGAACAUUGGGGUUCGCUUGUUCCCUUCCUAUGGAGACCAUGGUGAUACUGUGAGGACCUGGUGGUACUUUCCCUAAAAAAAAUUGCAAUUUGUAAAGGUAUCUCUCAGAACAAUACCUGGCAGCUUUGGCUGGCCUUGUCCUCUAGUGGGCACCUUUCAUCUGCCCCUAAAACAGUGGCACUCUAUUCCUUCAUUCCUGGGGAAAAUAGCUGGUCUUCAUGUCCAGGAACCACAGCAAAAAUAAGAAUUGGCCACCAAGCCUGCCUGGGCUCAUGGAACCAUCUGCAGGCCCCGGGCAGAUAUUGACCCUUCCAGUGCUUCCAUCCUCCCUCCAGUGAGAGAAAAGGACACAGGGCAGGCACACA